rnacentral:rRNA from 1 species
CUACGGGCGGCUGCAGUGGGGAAUAUUACACAGUGGAGGAAACUCUGAUGCAGCAACGCCGCGUGGAGGAUGACACUUUUCGGAGCGUAAACUCCUUUUAUAUAGGAAGAAGAUGACGGUACUAUAUGAAUAAGCGCCGGCUAACUCCGUGCCAGCAGCCGCGGUAAUACGGAGGGCGCAAGCGUUACUCGGAAUCACUGGGCGUAAAGAGCGUGUAGGCGGAUUAAAAAGUCAGAAGUGAAAUCCUAUAGCUUAACUAUAGAACUGCUUCUGAAACUCUUAAUCUAGAAUAUGGGAGAGGUAGAUGGAAUUUCUGGUGUAGGGGUAAAAUCCGUAGAGAUCAGAAGGAAUACCGAUUGCGAAGGCGAUCUACUAGAACAUUAUUGACGCUGAGACGCGAAAACGUGGGGAGCAAACAGGAUUAGAUACCCCUGUAGUC